CUGGUAGUCCACACAGUAAACGAUGAAUACUCGCUGUUUGCGAUACACAGCAAGCGGCCAAGCGAAAGCAUUAAGUAUUCCACCUGGGGAGUACGCCGGCAACGGUGAAACUCGAAGGAAUUGACGGGGGCCCGCACAAGCGGAGGAACAUGUGGUUUAAUUCGAUGAUACGCGAGGAACCUUACCCGGGCUUGAAUUGCAACUGCAUAUAGUGGAAACAUUAUAGCCAGCAAUGGCAGUUGUGAAGGUGCUGCAUGGUUGUCGUCAGCUCGUGCCGUGAGGUGUCGGCUUAAGUGCCAUAACGAGCGCAACCCUUAUUGAUAGUUACUAACAGGCAAUGCUGAGGACUCUAUCAAGACUGCCGUCGUAAGAUGUGAGGAAGGUGGGGAUGACGUCAAAUCAGCACGGCCCUUACGUCCGGGGCUACACACGUGUUACAAUGGGGGGUACGGAAGGUCGCUACCUGGCAACAGGAUGCUAAUCCCAAAAACCUCUCUCAGUUCGGAUUGGAGUCUGCAACUCGACUCCAUGAAGCUGGAUUCGCUAGUAAUCGCGCAUCAGCCACGGCGCGGUGAAUACGUUCCCGGGCCUUGUACACACCGCCCGUCAAGCCAUGGGAGCCGGGGGUACCUGAAGCACGUAACCGCAAGGAUCGUUCUAGGGUAAAACUGGUGACUGGGGCUAAGUCGUAACAAGGUAACCAAG
rnacentral:rRNA from 1 species